rnacentral:rRNA from 1 species
AGUGAACGCUGGCGGUAGGCCUAACACAUGCAAGUCGAACGGCAGCACAGGAGAGCUUGCUCUCUGGGUGGCGAGUGGCGGACGGGUGAGGAAUACAUCGGAAUCUACUCUGUCGUGGGGGAUAACGGAGGGAAACUUACGCUAAUACCGCAUACGACCUGCGGGUGAAAGCAGGGGAUCUUCGGACCUUGCGCGAUUGAAUGAGCCGAUGUCGGAUUAGCUAGUUGGCGGGGUAAAGGCCCACCAAGGCGACGAUCCGUAGCUGGUCUGAGAGGAUGAUCAGCCACACUGGAACUGAGACACGGUCCAGACUCCUACGGGAGGCAGCAGUGGGGAAUAUUGGACAAUGGGCGCAAGCCUGAUCCAGCCAUACCGCGUGGGUGAAGAAGGCCUUCGGGUUGUAAAGCCCUUUUGUUGGGAAAGAAAUCCAGCUGGCUAAUACCCGGUUGGGAUGACGGUACCCAAAGAAUAAGCACCGGCUAACUUCGUGCCAGCAGCCGCCGUAA